CAAGUCGAACGGCAGCACGGGAGCUUGCUCCUGGUGGCGAGUGGCGGACGGGUGAGUAACACGUAGGAAUCUGCCUAGUAGUGGGGGAUAACCCGGGGAAACUCGGGCUAAUACCGCAUACGCUCUACGGAGGAAAGCGGGGGAUCUUCGGACCUCGCGCUAUUAGAUGAGCCUGUGUCCGAUUAGCUAGUUGGCGGGGUAAAGGCCCACCAAGGCGACGAUCGGUAGCUGGUCUGAGAGGACGAUCAGCCACACUGGAACUGAGACACGGUCCAGACUCCUACGGGAGGCAGCAGUGGGGAAUAUUGGACAAUGGGCGCAAGCCUGAUCCAGCAAUGCCGCGUGUGUGAAGAAGGCCUGCGGGUUGUAAAGCACUUUAAGCAGGAAAGAAGGCUUCGGAGCUAAUAUCUUCGAAGAUUGACGUUACCUGCAGAAUAAGCACCGGCUAACUCCGUGCCAGCAGCCGCGGUAAUACGGAGGGUGCGAGCGUUAAUCGGAAUUACUGGGCGUAAAGCGCGCGUAGGCGGUUUGCUAAGUCCGCUGUGAAAGCCCUGGGCUUAACCUGGGAACUGCAGUGGAUACUGGCAGGCUAGAGUAUGGUAGAGGAGAGUGGAAUUUCCGGUGUAGCAGUGAAAUGCGUAGAGAUCGGAAGGAACACCAGUGGCGAAGGCGGCUCUCUGGACCAAUACUGACGCUGAGGCGCGAAAGCGUGGGGAGCAAACAGGAUUAGAUACCCUGGUAGUCCACGCCGUAAACGAUGAGAACUAGCCGUUGGGUUCCUUCGGGAAUUUAGUGGCGCAGCUAACGCGAUAAGUUCUCCGUCUGGGGAGUACGGCCGCAAGGUUAAAGCUCAAAUGAAUUGACAG
rnacentral:rRNA from 1 species